GGUGAACGCCGGCGGCGUGCCUAAUACAUGCAAGUCGAACGAAGAUCUAGCUUGCUAGAUCUUAGUGGCGAACGGGUGAGUAAUACAUAAAUAAUCUGCCCAUAUGACUGGGAUAACUAUUGGAAACGAUAGCUAAUACCGGAUAGGUUGAUUGGAGGCAUCUCUGAUUAAUUAAAGUAGGAUUUCUACACAAAUGGAUGAGUUUAUGGCGCAUUAGUUAGUUGGUGGGGUAACGGCCUACCAAGACGAUGAUGCGUAGCCGACCUGAGAGGGUGACCGGCCACACUGGGACUGAAACACGGCCCAGACUCCUACGGGAGGCAGCAGUAGGGAAUUUUCGGCAAUGGGCGCAAGCCUGACCGAGCAACGCCGCGUGAGUGAUUAAGGCCUUCGGGUUGUAAAGCUCUGUUGUAAGGGAAGAACAUUCAGGAUAGGAAAUGAUCUUGAACUGACGGUACCUUACCAGAAAGCCACGGCUAACUACGUGCCAGCAGCCGCAGUAACAC
rnacentral:rRNA from 1 species